AUUGAACGCUGGCGGCAGGCCUAACACAUGCAAGUCGAGCGGAUGAAGGGAGCUUGCUCCUGGAUUCAGCGGCGGACGGGUGAGAAUGCCUAGGAAUCUGCCUGGUAGUGGGGGAUAACGUCCGGAAACGGGCGCUAAUACCGCAUACGUCCUGAGGGAGAAAGUGGGGGAUCUUCGGACCUCACGCUAUCAGAUGAGCCUAGGUCGGAUUAGCUAGUUGGUGGGGUAAAGGCCUACCAAGGCGACGAUCCGUAACUGGUCUGAGAGGAUGAUCAGUCACACUGGAACUGAGACACGGUCCAGACUCCUACGGGAGGCAGCAGUGGGGAAUAUUGGACAAUGGGCGAAAGCCUGAUCCAGCCAUGCCGCGUGUGUGAAGAAGGCCUUCGGAUUGUAAAGCACUUUAAGUUGGGAGGAAGGGCAGUAAGUUAAUACCUUGCUGUUUUGACGUUACCAACAGAAUAAGCACCGGCUAACUUCGUG
rnacentral:rRNA from 1 species